GAGGAAUAUUGCGCAAUGGGGGAAACCCUGACGCAGCGACGCCGCGUGAGUGAGGAAGGCCUUCGGGUCGUAAAGCUCUGUCAAGAGGGAAGAAGUGUGUGGUAGCUAAUAUCUGCCAUGCUUGACGGUACCUCUAAAGGAAGCACCGGCUAACUCCGUGCCAGCAGCCGCGGUAAUACGGAGGGUGCAAGCGUUGUUCGGAAUUACUGGGCGUAAAGGGCGCGCAGGCGGUCUGCCAAGUCAGAUGUGAAAUCCCACGGCUUAACUGUGGACGUGCAUUUGAAACUGGCGGGCUUGAGUACCAGAGGGGAAAGUGGAAUUCCCGGUGUAGAGGUGAAAUUCGUAGAUAUCGGGAGGAAUACCGGUGGCGAAGGCGACUUUCUGGCUGGAUACUGACGCUGAGGCGCGAAAGCGUGGGGAGCAAAC
rnacentral:rRNA from 1 species